rnacentral:lncRNA from 1 species
AAGGCUGACUCCGGAGCUAGAGAGGAGCACAUUCGAGCGAGAAGCUACGUGGGUGCAAACAACACUCCAGUUUCUGCCCGGGAGGAGCCGGAUCUAACAACUAGGUUGCAACCAGAGGAAUCGCGCUAGUUGAAGGCGUCUAGGCUGCCGUGCGCCUCGGGGUUACUGCCGGGCAUCGCGCGGGCGGGGCGGGCGCUAGGAGGGGCAUGUCCUCGGCCUCAGGAACCAUCAUAAUGGAAACACUCAUAGGCAUCUGGAGAGGUCUGAGGCUCUCAUCCACACCAGCCUCGACGAUAGGAGUCUGUGGUGGUCCUUCUGUUCUAGAAAGUGCCCUCUUUCCUGGCAUCCCAAAAAUCUGGGAGGGUCAAGGAGAAACUGAUUUUCAAAAAUACCCUUUCCUGCAGGAGUUCAAGCCCCUACCUACCGACCGACCUGUGGUCUCUGAAGUUGGACAAUGCUCCCCAACAGGUGCAAACAGAAUACCUGUUUGACCGGGCUUUGUCUCUAGGAAACUACAUACGAGGUGAUGGAAAUGCUAUUAAGAGAUGGGACCCAUACCUGACACUAUCAAUGAGGCUAAGAACCUGUAACUAGAUUACUGAAUUUUUCAACUCUCCUUGCAGUGAUGUGAAUUAACACAGAGACCUACAAUUGAUUCAGGGAUCUAUGUAGAAGAGGAAGCAGGGAGAUUCUAAGAGCCAGAGAUGGUGGAUGACUUCAAAGAAACAAUGUUUUCCAGCUACAACAGUUAAACAUCUGUGAGACACUAUGGAGAACAAGAAAACAAGUCCCAGAACAGGAUAGAUCUGAAAGAGGUGAUGUUUAGAUCAUGAGCUGAUGUUUGCAGCAGUAUGGAGGCUGGCAGGAUUGCCCAAGCAGAAGGCUGAGGCCACAAGAGGAACAAUCUGUUGGAGCAAGGCUUUGGAGCACUUGUUCGUGAAGGGUGUAAUAAUAAGUGCCGUGGUGUGGGAACUUAAACAAAUAAGAAUCUCCUUCCUCAAAGUUUGAGAGGCCCAAGAUUCAAGAUGGACAUGUCCACAGGAUGGGCGUCCUUCACUCCUGUAUCCAUUGCUAGGCUUUGCCUUCCUGCCCACUCAUGAACUCAGAGAUACUUGGAUGGCUCUAUAUGAAAGGCAAAAGAAAAGGAAGAGAAAGCAAGUCAAGACAGAGUUGGCACACACAUGCAACCGUUCCCUGGUGGUUCCCAUUGGAGAGAACCAAUGAUGGAAGGCCUUGGAGAAGCAGAACAGGCAGCUAUGUCCCUUAUGAAGAUGAGGAAGCCAGGGAGAAAUACAGAUAACACCUUAAAGGACAUGCUGAAUCUAGCACAAUGGAUUGGAAGGGUGAACCUCUACCAUCACUUACUGGAGAACGCAUUUGACCAAUGAGAUACUGAGCUAAUCACAAGCACUAGACAUUCCUGGAGAAGAAGGAGGGGAAGCUGCUUAGAAAAACCUGCUCAACCUAUUAUGGGGUCCUUGAAUUAUCGGAGGAUACUUCCACAGUUCCCCAGGUCCAGUGAAGUAGCGGGCAUGCAGCAUUGGCCACUCCAUUGUUGUGUUUGUCUGUCAGAAUGAUGACACCUCUCAAACCAACAAGAAAAUACAAACUUGCUUCAAUAGCAUCUUGCCUUUGUACAUUAGUAUCUUUGGACAAAAGCAAAGACAAUUAUUCAGUGAGCUGUAAAAAUGAAUAAAUAAAUACUUU